UACAGAGGUCCCAAGCGUUGUUCGGAUUCACUGGGCGUAAAGCGCACGUAGGCGGACUCGUAGGUCAAUUGUGAAAUACCUGGGCUCAACCCGGGAACUGCAGUUGAAACCGCUUGUCUUGAAUACCUGAGAGGGUGGGGGAAUACCUGGUGGAGAAGUGAAAUUCGUAGAGAUCAGGUGGAACACCGGAGGCGAAGGCGCCUGCCUGGCAGUGUAUUGACGCUGAGGUGCGAAAGUGCGGGGAGCAAACAGG
rnacentral:rRNA from 1 species